CCAAAGUGUAUGUUAAGUGGAAAAGGAUGUGGGAUUUCGAAGACAACUAGGAUGUUGGCUCAGAAGCAGCCACACAUUCAAAGAGUGCGUAAUAGCUCACUAGUCGAGAGGUCCUGCGCCGAAAAUGUCCGGGGCUAAAACACAACACCGAAGCUUAGGAAUGUAGUGAUACAUUGGUAGAGGAGCAUUCUUAAAGAGACGAAGCAGUACCGAUAAGGAGCUGUGGAUUUUUAAGAAGAGAGAAUGCCGGAAUGAGUAGCGAGAUGGAGGUGGGAAUCCUCCAGGCCGAAUAUCUAAGGUUUCCAGAGUAAAGCUGAUCUGCUCUGGGUAAGUCGGGGCCUAAGGCGAGGUCGAAAGACGUAGUCGAUGGAUAACAGGUUGAAAUUCCUGUACUGCAUAUCAUCAGAACUGUGGGGACACAGAGAGAUACCGGAACCUGGGAAUGAAGAUACCAGGGCAAGCGAGGUAGGUGCUAAGCUGGCAAAACCGCUUAGUAAGCCGAAGACGUGAUGCGGAGCGAAUUAAAGUAGCGAAGUCCGGGAUUCGAGCUGUCGAGAAAAGCCGCUAUUGUGUGAUAUGUACCCGUACCGUAAACCGACACAGGUGGAUGAGGAGAGAAUCCUAAGGCCGGCGGGAGAAGCAUUGUUAAGGAACUCGGCAAAAUGACCCUGUAACUUCGGGAUAAAGGGUGCCACAGAGAUGUGGCCGCAGAGAAUAGGCUCAAGCAACUGUUUAGCAAAAACACAGGUCUAUGCGAAACCGAAAGGUGAGGUAUAUGGGCUGACGCCUGCCCGGUGCUGGAAGGUUACGAGGAGAGGUUAGAGCAAUCGAAGCUUUGAAUCUAAGCCCCAGUAAACGGCGGCCGUAACUAUAACGGUCCUAAGGUAGCGAAAUUCCUUGUCGGGUAAGUUCCGACCCGCACGAAAGGCGUAAUGAUUUGAGCGCUGUCUCGACAAUGCACCCGGUGAAAUUGAAAUACCAGUGAAGAUGCUGGUUACCUGCGCCAGGACGGAAAGACCCCAUGGAGCUUUACUCUAGCUUGAUACUGGGAUUCGGUACUGCAUGUACAGGAUAGGUGGGAGACGAAGAGGACAGGACGCCAGUCUUGUCGGAGUCGCUGUUGGGAUACCACCCUUGUGGUACUGGAUUUCUAACCAACCUCCGUGACCCGGAGGUGGGACAAUGUCAGGUGGGGAGUUUGACUGGGGCGGUCGCCUCCGAAAGGGUAUCGGAGGCGCUCAAAGGUUCCCUCAGAAUGGUUGGAAACCAUUCAAAGAGUGCAAAGGCAGAAGGGAGCUUGACUGCGAGACCGACGGGUCGAGCAGGUACGAAAGUAGGACUUAGUGAUCCGGUGGUAGAAAGUGGGAUUGCCAUCGCUCAACGGAUAAAAGCUACCCUGGGGAUAACAGGCUUAUCACUCCCAAGAGUUCACAUCGACGGAGUGGUUUGGCACCUCGAUGUCGGCUCAUCGCAUCCUGGGGCUGUAGCAGGUCCCAAGGGUUGGGCUGUUCGCCCAUUAAAGCGGUACGCGAGCUGGGUUCAGAACGUCGUGAGACAGUUCGGUCCCUAUCCGGCGCGGGCGUAGGAUAUCUGAGGGGAGCUGGCCUUAGUACGAGAGGACCGGGCUGGACGGACCACUGGUGUACCGGCUGUCAUGCCAAUGGCAUCGCCGGGUAGCCAAGUCCGGAAGGAAUAAACGCUGAAGGCAUCUAAGCGUGAAGUCCCCCCCAAGAUGAGAUAUCCCAUCCUUUUAAAGGAGUAAAAACCCUUGAAGAGUACGAGGUAGAUAGGGCAGAGGUGGAAGUGUGGUAACACAUGGAGCUGACUGUUACUAAUCGUUUGAGGGCUUGACCAA
rnacentral:rRNA from 1 species